AGACAAAUUGCUUUCUCAGAAGCCGCAACGCACCCAUCUCAAACAAUCGAAGACAGACGAGGACAGCAUUGCGCACUACCCAUCAGCAGGAGUUUAAACGUCCCAAUCUCGCGGCACAUCGGACGCGCGUGUCCGGUCGAGGCGGAUCGGUCCGGCUCGAGCGUCAGUCGGCGGGAAAUUCAAACUCUUUCGUCACGGGGGAUACAGAAAUACAUCUUUUUUCCGUCUUCUUA